UACCCUACGGGAGGCAGCAGUGGGGAAUAUUGCACAAUGGGGGAAACCCUGAUGCAGCGAUGCCGCGUGGAGGAAGAAGGUUUUCGGAUUGUAAACUCCUUUUAUCAGGGACGAUAAUGACGGUACCUGAAGAAAAAGCUCCGGCUAACUCCGUGCCAGCAGCCGCGGUAAUACGGAGGAUGCGAGCGUUAUCCGGAUUUAUUGGGUUUAAAGGGUGCGCAGGCGGAGGUGCAAGUCAGCGGUCAAAUUGCGGGGCUCAACCCCGUACUGCCGUUGAAACUGCAUCCCUUGAGUGCGCGAGAAGU
rnacentral:rRNA from 1 species